rnacentral:rRNA from 1 species
AAGGAUCAUUAUCGAGUUUUGAACGGGUUGUAGCUGGCCUCUCACGAGGCAUGUGCACGCCUGGCUCAUCCACUCUUAACCUCUGUGCACUUUAUGUAAGAGAAAAAAAUGGUGGAAGCUUCCAGGAUCUCGCGAGAGGUCUUCGGUUGAACAAGCCGUUUUUCUUUCUUAUGUUUUACUACAAACGCUUCAGUUAUAGAAUGUCAACUGUGUAUAACACAUUUAUAUACAACUUUCAGCAACGGAUCUCUUGGCUCUCGCAUCGAUGAAGAACGCAGCGAAAUGCGAUAAGUAAUGUGAAUUGCAGAAUUCAGUGAAUCAUCGAAUCUUUGAACGCACCUUGCACUCCUUGGUAUUCCGAGGAGUAUGCCUGUUUGAGUCUCAUGGUAUUCUCAACCCCUAAAUUUUUGUAAUGAAGGUUUAGCGGGCUUGGACUUGGAGGUUGUGUCGGCCCUCGUUGGUCGACUCCUCUGAAAUGCAUUAGCGUGAAUCUUACGGAUCGCCUUCAGUGUGAUAAUUAUCUGCGCUGUGGUGUUGAAGUAUUUAUGGUGUUCAUGCUUCGAACCGUCUCCUUGCCGAGACAAUCAUUUGACAAUCUGAGCUCAAAUCAGGUAGGACUACCCGCUGAACUUAAG